UCAAGCUACAAAGAGCGUAAGGGGAAUGCCUUGGCACCAGGAGCCGACGAAGGACGCAGCGAUCUGCGAAAAGCCACGGGGAGCCGAAAGCAGGCUUUGAUCCGUGGAUAUCCGAAUGGGGAAACCCGCAUGGUUAAUAGCCAUGCGACGUAUACUGAAUAAAUAGGUAUGCGUCGGGAACCGUCUGAACUGAAACAUCUAAGUAGGACGAGGAAAAGAAAUCAACCGAGAUUCCGUAAGUAGUGGCGAGCGAACACGGAAGAGGCCAAACCGAAGGUAGCAAUAUCUUCGGGGUACGGACAGUAAACGGCAUUGCGGUAUCUUAGCAGAAGUGCAUGGGACGGCACACCAUAGAGAGUGAUAGUCUCGUAAGCGAAAAGAGAAGGCAGCCAACUGUAUCCAGAGUACCGCCGGACACGUGAAACCCGGUGGGAACAUGGGGGGACCAUCCUCCAAGCCUAAAUACUCCCUGGUGACCGAUAGAGAACAGUACUGUGAAGGAAAGGUGAAAAGAACCCCGGGAGGGGAGUGAAAAGAACCUGAAACCUUAUGCUUACAAGCACCGAGAGCCCAUCAAAGGGUGAUCGGGUACCUUUUGUAGAAUGGUCCGGCGAGUGAAUGUAACUGGCAAGGUUAAGCACUUCAGGUGUGGAGCCGAAGCGAAAGCAAGUCUUAAUAGGGCGUCAAGUCAGUUGUAUUCGACCCGAAACCGUGUGACCUAGCCAUGAGCAGGCUGAAGUGGAGGUAAAACUCCAUGGAGGGCCGAACCCACUCCCGUUGAAAUGGUAGGGGAUGACUUGUGGCUAGCGGAGAAAUUCCAAUCGAACUCGGAGAUAGCUGGUUCUCUCCGAAAUAGCUUUAGGGCUAGCCUCGAUUUGACAUUACCGGAGGUAAAGCACUGAAUGGGCUAGGGGCCGAGAGGUUACUGAACCCUAUCAAACUAAGAAUGCCGGAUAAUGAUAAUCGGGAGUCAGACAGUGUGAGAUAAGUUUCAUUGUCAAAAGGGAAACAGCCCAGACCCACAGCUAAGGUCCCAAAGUACAGUUAAGUGGUGAAGGAUGUGGAAUUGCAUAGACAACCAGGAUGUUGGCUUAGAAGCAGCCACUCAUUAAAAGAGUGCGUAAUAGCUCACUGGUCGAGUGAUUCUGCGCCGAAAAUUUAACGGGGCUAAAUUGUACACCGAAGCUUGGGAUACAUCUAAUGUAUGGUAGGAGAGCGUUGUAUACGGGGUGAAGUCAGAGCGGAAGCGCUGGUGGACUGUAUACAAGUGAGAAUGCCGGAAUGAGUAGCGAGAAUUAUGUGAGAAUCAUAAUGGCCGAAAGACUAAGGUUUUAGAAGGAAGGUUCGUCCGCUUCUAGUCAGCCGGGAGCUAAGGCGAGGCCGAAAGGCGUAGUCGAUGCACAUACGGUGGAGAUUCCGUAGCCGCCAUUAAUUUAAACAGAGGGACACUUUCAAGGGGCAUGACCCGGGCGUUGGUAGACCCGGGCGUAAGGGACCGAAGAUUAGUAGGGAAGCAUGCUUUAAGGAAGGCGAGAAAAGCUCUGUGUAUAGAAGAUGGCGCCCGUACCGCAAACCGACACAGGUAGUCAGGAAGAGAAUUCUAAGGCCAACGGGAGAAGGGUAGUUAAGGAACUCGGCAAAUUGACCCCGUAACUUCGGAAUAAGGGGUGCUCACGAGAGUGAGCCGCAGUGAAUAGGUCCAGGCGACUGUUUAUCAAAAACACAGCUCUCUGCUAAAUCGAAAGAUGACGUAUAGGGGGUGACACCUGCCCGGUGCUGGAAGGUUAAGAGGAAGGGUGCAAGCUCUGAAUUGAAGCCCCAGUAAACGGCGGCCGUAACUAUAACGGUCCUAAGGUAGCGAAAUUCCUUGUCGGGU
rnacentral:rRNA from 1 species